GACGAACGCUGGCGGCGUGCUUAACACAUGCAAGUCGAGCGGUAAGGCCCUUUCGGGGGUACACGAGCGGCGAGCGGGUGAGUAACACGUGGGUGACCUGCCCUUAGCUCUGGGAUAAGCCUGGGAAACUGGGUCUAAUACCGGAUAUGACUCCAUGACGCAUGUUGUGGGGUGGAAAGCCUUGUGCGGCUAGGGAUGGGCCCGCGGCCUAUCAGCUUGUUGGUGGGGUGAUGGCCUACCAAGGCGACGACGGGUAGCCGGCCUGAGAGGGCGACCGGCCACACUGGGACUGAGACACGGCCCAGACUCCUACGGGAGGCAGCAGUGGGGAAUCUUGCGCAAUGGGCGAAAGCCUGACGCAGCGACGCCGCGUGAGGGAUGACGGCCU
rnacentral:rRNA from 1 species